CUCAGCUCCCAGCGGCGGCGGCGGCCAUGUUGGCCCUGAUCACGUGACCCGCCUCCGUCGCGCGCCGAGGGUGAAAGUUCAAGAAGUGCGGGGGCUGCCGGACCGGGACCAGGAAACGGCGGCUUGCACUCCGGCGGCAACCGGCUGAGGCCGCCCUGGGGUCCCUCCCACCGCCCGCAAAGCCAACCCGCCCCAGUUUUAGCGGCCGCGAGGUCCUCCCCCUCCACCCCGUUCCACGCCCCCUCCCAGCGUGGGACUCCUUCCGCCCCGGAGCCCCGCCCGGCUCCCGCCUCCCGCGCGGCCACCCCUGGCUGGGGAGGGGGCGGAGGGAUCCCCGAUCGCCGCGGGCCGUCCCGGCCGAAAGUCCUAACUGUCCCCGCCGGUCCCUAGCCUUGCCACAGUCCGGAUAUUAGAGGAGUCCCAACAUUUCAGCUGUCUUCUGGAUAGCCACGCGGCCGACGUGGAACUCAGCAUCCCUCAAACAGGUGCCUUCCUCCAGGAUUCUCAGUUCCUAACGGGAUACCACCAUCCACCCUGGUGACAAGUGCUGCCGUCAGUCUUGGCUCGGCCCCCUUCCUGGACCUACAGGCUCUCACCAUCCCCCCUUCUCUGUUCCCACCGCCACUGCUGUUGUCCGAGGUCAGCCUCGUCGUCUAUCCCCUGGACCCUCUGCCUCAGCUCACUUACCUCCCUGCUGCUUCCCCACAUCGUCCUCCACACUGGCCUCCAGGGCGAGUCUCUCCGAUCCAGCUCACCAGUUCCCCCACGACCUCUAGGACUGCCCUCCGGCAUGGAAGG